CUAAACUAACUACUCCCCAUCAAGUCCACACAAUUUACAGAGACAGCAUUAGGCCAGUUCACAUGAAAUUCCAAACUAUGGAAUUAAUGUGAGCAAGCCUUGUGUGCACUGCUUCUUCCUCUUGUGUUCUCUGAUUCUCUACCUGACUUCCUGGUUCAUGGUAAACUAUAGUCUGCUGUUCCAAAUCUAGGGAAGUUACGGUUUGGGGAAGCCAUAGCUUGCAAGAAAAUUAAACUGAGAGCAGUCCUUAGCAACAUAUUUAUGCAAGUGUAUAGGGUUUUUGGAGGGAAGGGAGAAAAGUGAAAAUUGUUCUCCCCGACUGCUGUGCAAUGUGUCAUCGUUUCUGGUGACUUCUUUAAGCAGCUCUAACAUUCCUGACACAGCAGCACAGCUGAGAACUGUGUCUUGUAUAGCAGCUGUAGGCUACAAGACCAGCUUGACACAAUGAAGACAUGACUGUCAAUAUAUUUUCUCUCUACAUAAGCAUGGUAUACUGUAAGUCAGUGAUUCCCAGCCAGGGGUAUGUGUCUCUCUAGGGGUACUUGAAGGGCUCCUAGGGGGUCCACAGAGCCCUCCUGCUUCCCCACAGCACUGCUGCAUUACUGCCUGAGGAUCAGAGGAUUGUCUGCCUGAAGCAGCUGAGACCUCCACAAUGUGUUCUCCGCAGGAGGGGAAGUGGGUUGUGUUGGGGAGAAUCAGGCAACAUUCCUAUCUCCCUCUCUGCUCCCAAAUGAUUAGCUAUAUACUGAGGCUCAGCCCAUUCCUCCCUUAACCUAACUGACAGGGUCAGCAGCCAGGGAAAUGCUGUCGCUGAGCAUCAGCCACAGCAUCACUAAAAGUUUCUAGGGCGGGUACCUAAGCUGCAGCUUUGCAAGAGAAGGGGCAGGCUUGUUUUAAAAGUUCGGGAAACCGGCUGUAAGCCGUGGAGAGUGUAUUCCCAUUUAUUUGCUUUAGUUCUCAGAACUCACCUUGCUCCCACCAUGAGCUCUCUUGUUCUUGGGUUCCUCUGCAGGCUUUUCACAUCCUACUUCAGAUGCUUGGAAAAAAGAACAAUCACCAGGAACGUGAGUUUGUUUUGAUUGGUUUGUUUGGAAAGUCUGGAGAGAAAAGGGUGAAUAAAAGGAAGCUUGACGGCGGCAGAGAAGUCAGGAGGAGCAAGGAGUAAGAGUCAGAGAGACAUCUCAGAGACAGGAGCAGAGCUGGAACCAUGAAGAGACAAGCAGACUGCAGAAGAAAGCUGACCAGGGGCAGUCAGAGGCAGAGAGCUUGAAAUCGCUGAGCUGGAAUCACUGCAGCAUAGCAGAGGCAGAAACUACUAGGUUGUAGUAGUCAAGAAGCCAGGUCUACUGCGGGGAAAGAGGGAAGCUUUGGGAUAAGCUAUUCUUUGCACUACUUUGAGACUGUUUCUGGGCCUAGUUUGCAUAGGCUAUUGGACUUCGCUAUUUCAAUGCUUUUCUUGUACUUUUGCGCAACUGAACAUUUUUUCUAUUUUUACUCAAUAUUACUGCACUAUUAUAAAACUAAGAAGAUUUUGAACCAAGUAAAACUUUUCCCUGUUUUCUGGAA